GAAAUUUAACGGAUUUGGCGGCAAGAUAGCCCCUUAGAGGAACCUGCCCUGUAAACGAUGAACCACGAAUGACACAACUUUUCUUUGAAAUCAGUUUGUAUAUCGCUGUUGUCAGUUAGAUUCUUGAGAAUAUUUUCAUUUAUGAUAAAGUCAUUGACUUCAAGUAAAGGUGCAGCUUAUAGAAAAGGUAGAGGUGGGUUACAUUUAUGUGAAUAAAACGGAUAAGAUAAGAGAAAUAAUCUUUGAAGGUGGAUUUAACUGUAAAGCUUAAAGAAGCUUGGUGAGAGCUCUAUCUUGUGUACACACCGCCCGUC
rnacentral:rRNA from 1 species